rnacentral:lncRNA from 1 species
UUCUUCUUAUUUCUACCGUUCAUUUUUCUUCUUAUUGCUGCUAUUAGUGUUUUAAGUCUUAAUUGUUAGUUGUUACUGUUAAAUGUUAGUGCGUACUUUUCAUAACCAAUUUUAUGUUGAGAACUGUGUGUACUGUGUAGUUGUGUAAUGCAUAAAACACCUGCGCAUAGUGCAUUGAUGAUUUAAUAAGACAGGGGGAUAAGCGGUUAUAUAACCGCAUUCUGUA